rnacentral:rRNA from 1 species
GAUGAACGCUGGCGGCGUGCUUAACACAUGCAAGUCGAACGGGAAUUAUUUUAUUGAAACUUCGGUCGAUUUAAUUUACUUCUAGUGGCGGACGGGUGAGUAACGCGUGGGUAACCUGCCUUAUACAGGGGGAUAACAGUCAGAAAUGGCUGCUAAUACCGCAUAAGCGCACAGAGCUGCAUGGCUCAGUGUGAAAAACUCCGGUGGUAUAAGAUGGACCCGCGUUGGAUUAGCUUGUUGGCAGGGUAACGGCCUACCAAGGCGACGAUCCAUAGCCGGCCUGAGAGGGUGAACGGCCACAUUGGGACUGAGACACGGCCCAGACUCCUUCGGGAGGCAGCAGUGGGGAAUAUUGCACAAUGGGGGAAACCCUGAUGCAGCGACGCCGCGUGAAGGAAGAAGUAUCUCGGUAUGUAAACUUCUAUCAGCAGGGAAGAUAGUGACGGUACCUGACUAAGAAGCCCCGGCUAACUACGUG